rnacentral:snRNA from 1 species
UAUCUUGCGCAGAGGCGGUACCAUGGCCAAUGAGGUAAAUCCGAGGCGUGGUUAUUGCUAGUUGAAAUCUAGUCUUU